UACAGAGGGUGCAAGCGUUAAUCGGAAUUACUGGGCGUAAAGCGUGCGCAGACGGUUGCGUAAGUCAGAUGUGAAAUCCCCGGGCUCAACCUGGGAACUGCAUCCAAAACUGUCUGGCUAGAGUGUGGUAGAGGGUAGUGGAAUUUCCAGUGUAGCGGUGAAAUGCGUAGAUAUUGGAAGGAACACCAGUGGCGAAGGCGACUACCUGGACUAACACUGACACUGAGGUGCGAAAGCGUGGGGAGCAAACAGG
rnacentral:rRNA from 1 species